GUUUGCCUACGGGGCGCAGCAGUGGGGAAUAUUGCACAAUGGGGGAAACCCUGAUGCAGCAACGCCGCGUGAGUGAAGAAGUAUUUCGGUAUGUAAAGCUCUAUCAGCAGGGAAGAAGAUGACGGUACCUGAUUAAGAAGCCCCGGCUAACUACGUGCCAGCAGCCGCGGUAAUACGUAGGGGGCAAGCGUUAUCCGGAUUUACUGGGUGUAAAGGGAGCGUAGACGGAAUUGCAAGUCUGAUGUGAAAAUCCGGGGCCCAACCCCGGCACUGCAUUGGAAACUGUAUUUCUAGAGUGUCGGAGA
rnacentral:rRNA from 1 species